GACGAACGCUGGCGGCGUGCCUAAUACAUGCAAGUGGGACGCAAGAGAACACACUGUGCUUGCACACCGUGUUUUCUUGAGUCGCGAACGGGUGCGUAACGCGUUGGUAACCUGCCUAUUAGCGGGGGAUAACUAUUGGAAACGAUAGCUAAUACCGCAUAAUAUUAAUUAUUGCCUGAUAAUUGCAUGAAAGAUGCAAGCGCAUCACUAGCAGAAGGACCUGCGUUGUAUUAGCUAGUUGGUAAGGUAAGAGCUUACCAAGGAGACGAUACGUAGCCGACCUGAGAGGGUGAUCGGCCACACUGGGAAUGAGAAACGGCCCAGACUCCUACGGGAGGCAGCAGUAGGGAAUCUUCGGCAAUGGACGAAAGUCUGACCGAGCAACGCCGCGUGAGUGAAGAAGGUUUUCGGAUCGUAAAGCUCUGUUGUAAGUCAAGAACGUUUGUGAGAGUGGAAAGUUCACACAGUGACGGUAGCUUACCAGAAAGGGACGGCUAACUACGUGCCAGCCGCCGCCGUAA
rnacentral:rRNA from 1 species